rnacentral:rRNA from 1 species
UGGGGUAUCUUGGACAAUGGGGGAAACCCUGAUACAGCGACGCCGCGUGGGUGACGAAGGCCUUCGGGUUGUAAAGCCCUUUUCUCGGGGAAGAUGACGACGGUACCCGAGGAAUAAGCACCGGCUAACUCCGUGCCAGCAGCCGCGGUAAGACGGAGGGUGCUAGCGUUGUUCGGAAUUACUGGGCGUAAAGGGCGCGUAGGCGGCCAGGGAAGUCGGAUGUGAAAGCCCGGGGCUCAACCUCGGAAUUGCAUUCGAAACUUCUUGGCUAGAGAACGGAAGAGGAGAGUGGAAUACCCAGUGUAGAGGUGAAAUGCGUAGAUAUUGGGUGGAACACCGGUGGCGAAAGCGGCUCUCUGGUCCGGUUCUGACGCUGAGGCGCGAAAGCGUGGGGAGCAAACAGGAUUAGAUACCCCCGUAGUCC